UUCAUCUCUUCUGGGAUUUCAGCUGCCUCGACCCUGUGUUUACGGGUGCUAUACCAACACUGGGAGUUGAUCUGUCGUGUCCUACAUAUGGUGUCACUAACCUACUCAGUGAACAUCACAUUUACAACACACAGAGAUAGCAGGCAUAAAGGUGAAUGGGGAAAUGUGGUGAAUUGGAGAGGAGUUGAAAGGGAAGGAUUGACUCCAAACACAUUAUAUGUAUGUAUACGUAUUAAAUAGAAUAUUUUAAAUAAGUCCAUAUAAUGUGCUGUUAACUACAAAAUAGCAAGUUUGGGAUAGCAGAAUCAACUGGGGAGUAUGUUUUUCAUUUUGAAUCCCUGUUAUUGCUCUGAGUUGUGCAGAUGUUCUGGCUUGAAGGGAGGCUGGACAGAGGCCUGACUAUUUCCUGGUGUCUGCUGACUUAUGCGGUGUAAAUACUCACCCCAUGACCAACUACCCACCUCUUGUCAUUGCCCGGGGCCUUAGGAAAAAUUGUCAAAAACUGAUUUUCCUAAGCCAGUGGGCGUUAGCUACUGCAGUGUUGGUGGGUGGAGAAGAAUGAGAGGUGGUGACUGAGAAGGACCUGGAAAUAGGCGUUAUAAUUUAAGUCACCGGAGGGAGAGACACGACACUUGUCGGGAGUACAGAAAACCCCUGGAAAACAGUGAUCCUCAGAGGGAGAAAAGGAAGGAAGAGGCCCCCAGUGACAAGCCACAAGCAGCCAUCUACCUGACAGACCAGCACGAAAGAAGGCACUCACAUUACUUUCUUCCUAUCUGGGACAAGUGAGCGAUGGAGUGUGGACACAUUUCUUAAAGAAGACAGAGACCAUUACAGUUUGCCGCAACUAAUCAAAAUUCGGAGAGCAGCUGGCAACGGGGUAUCUCUCACCAAUCAACGCACCUACAACACAACCCCUGCACCUAAGGGACAUCACAGAAGCGGGGACAGAAAGAUUUUGAAAGCCAGAUGUGUACCUGCUGUGAGAUAUGCAUCAGGGUCUCUGCAUCCAUGAACUUUCAGCAACGUGGUUGCAAAAGCAAGACCUGAGUAAUGACAUCAUCAGCUGCCACAACCAUGUCGAUGUGGAGGGCACAGAUCUCAUGGGUCCUCACCACUAGAUGAAGAGCUACAGGCAAGCAGUGACUAUGGAGAGAGGGGGACUUAGUCUGUCUCAGAAACAAGGCAUAAAAACAUCUAUUUAUAAGCAACAAUAAAUGAACUCAGCAGGUAGCCUUUAUAUAUGUAUUUGAUUGUAUGUAUCUACAUACGCAUGUGUGUUAGUAAUAAUUAAAUAAAAAGAGGUCAUGAAUUUGACAAAAAUGGGGGACACCCAGGAGGACUUGGAGGGAGGAUAGGGAAAGGGGAAAAUUAUGUAAAUGUAGUAUGCAUGUAAAGUUUUUGGAAAAAUAAGGAAUUGUUAAAGGUGAUUAAUCUAUUCAUGUGAACUUUAAAGGCUUCAAAUUCGGAGGGGCUCUGUUACCAUCAUCAUCAUCAUCAUCAUCGUAGCUAUUAUUAUUGAUGUUGUUGUACAUAUAAAAUAUUUGUAAUUUCAGUUUGGAUUCCUGGGACAGCCCAAGGUUUGUAGCUCCAUCUUCUGUGACGAUCACGUGAAUUGAGGCUCGUUGCUACUAUAUACUUACUUCACACACAUAUUUAUGAGGAAAAAAAUUUCCUGUACAAACGUCCACAUAGAAUUGAAGAUUGUUAUUACCAAAAGCAGUGAUUUCCAGCUGUGAUUGUUUAUAAAGGUCCUCUGUUCAAUAUUAA